ACGAACGCUGGCGGCACGCUUAACACAUGCAAGUCGAACGAGAGAAGAGGAGCUUGCUUUUCUGAUCUAGUGGCGGACGGGUGAGUAACACGUGAGCAAUCUGCCUUUCAGAGGGGGAUACCGAUUGGAAACGAUCGUUAAUACCGCAUAACAUAAUUGAACCGCAUGAUUUGAUUAUCAAAGAUUUAUCGCUGAAAGAUGAGCUCGCGUCUGAUUAGCUAGUUGGUAAGGUAACGGCUUACCAAGGCGACGAUCAGUAGCCGGACUGAGAGGUUGAUCGGCCACAUUGGGACUGAGACACGGCCCAGACUCCUACGGGAGGCAGCAGUGGGGAAUAUUGCACAAUGGAGGAAACUCUGAUGCAGCGAUGCCGCGUGAGGGAAGAAGGUUUUAGGAUUGUAAACCUCUGUCUUCAGGGACGAAAAAUGACGGUACCUGAGGAGGAAGCUCCGGCUAACUACGUGCCAGCAACCGCGGUAAUACGUAGGGAGCGAGCGUUGUCCGGAAUUACUGGGUGUAAAGGGAGCGUAGGCGGGAUCGCAAGUCAGAUGUGAAAACUAUGGGCUUAACCCGUAAACUGCAUUUGAAACUGUGGUUCUUGAGUGAAGUAGAGGUAAGCGGAAUUCCUAGUGUAGCGGUGAAAUGCGUAGAUAUUAGGAGGAACAUCAGUGGCGAAGGCGGCUUACUGGGCUUUAACUGACGCUGAGGCUCGAAAGCGUGGGGAGCAAACAGGAUUAGAUACCCUGGUAGUCCACGCCGUAAACGAUGAUUACUAGGUGUGGGGGGACUGACCCCUUCCGUGCCGCAGCAAACGCAAUAAGUAAUCCACCUGGGGAGUACGACCGCAAGGUUGAAACUCAAAGGAAUUGACGGGGGCCCGCACAAGCAGUGGAGUAUGUGGAUUAAUUCGAAGCAACGCGAAGAACCUUACCAGGUCUUGACAUCGUAUGCAUAGCUCAGAGAUGAGUGAAAUCUCUUCGGAGACAUAUAGACAGGUGGUGCAUGGUUGUCGUCAGCUCGUGUCGUGAGAUGUUGGGUUAAGUCCCGCAACGAGCGCAACCCUUACUGUUAGUUGCUACGCAAGAGCACUCUAGCAGGACUGCCGUUGACAAAACGGAGGAAGGUGGGGAUGACGUCAAAUCAUCAUGCCCCUUAUGACCUGGGCCUCACACGUACUACAAUGGCUGUCAACAGAGGGAAGCAAAGCCGCGAGGUGGAGCAAACCCCUAAAAGCAGUCUUAGUUCGGAUUGUAGGCUGCAACCCGCCUACAUGAAGUCGGAAUUGCUAGUAAUCGCAGAUCAGCAUGCUGCGGUGAAUACGUUCCCGGGCCUUGUACACACCGCCCGUCACGCCAUGGGAGUCGGUAACACCCGAAGCCUGUAGUCUAACCGCAAGGAGGACGCAGUCGAAGGUGGGAUUGAUGACUGGGGUG
rnacentral:rRNA from 1 species